GGGCACAUGGUGUAGUUGGUUAUCACGCCCGCUUAGCAUUAUUUCAUGCUUCAUGCGGGCGGUGCCCGGUUCAAUUCCGGGUGUGUCCA